UGAACGCUGGCGGCAUGAUUUCCACAUGCAAGUCGAACGGUAACAGGCCGCAAGGUGCUGACGAGUGGCGAACGGGUGAGUAAUGCAUCGGAACGUGCCCAGUCGUGGGGGAUAACUACUCGAAAGAGUAGCUAAUACCGCAUACGAUCUAUGGACGAAAGCGGGGGACCGUACGGCCUCGCGCGAUUGGAGCGGCCGAUGUCAGAUUAGGUAGUUGGUGGGGUAAAGGCUCACCAAGCCAACGAUCUGUAGCUGGUCUGAGAGGACGACCAGCCACACUGGGACUGAGACACGGCCCAGACUCCUACGGGAGGCAGCAGUGGGGAAUUUUGGACAAUGGGCGCAAGCCUGAUCCAGCAAUGCCGCGUGCAGGAAGAAGGCCUUCGGGUUGUAAACUGCUUUUGUACGGAACGAAACGGCUCUGGUUAAUACCCGGGGCUAAUGACGGUACCGUAAGAAUAAGCACCGGCUAACUACGUG
rnacentral:rRNA from 1 species